rnacentral:rRNA from 1 species
UACGAGAGCCUCAAGCGUUAUCCGGAAUUAUUGGGCGUAAAGGGUGUGUAGGCGGUAAUGUUAGUCUCAUGUCAAAGCCUCCGGCUUAACCGGAGAUCCGCAUGGGAAACGGCAUAACUAGGAGGGUGCGAGAGGUGAAUGGAACUCACGGUGUAGGGGUGAAAUCCGUUGAUAUCGUGGGGAACGCCAAAAGCGAAGGCAAUUCACUGGCGCAUACCUGACGCUGAAACACGAAAGCCAGGGUAUCGAAUGGG